GCGAGCGGCGGAUGGGUGAGUAACACGUGGGGAACCUGCCCCUAAGUCUGGGAUACCAUUUGGAAACAGGUGCUAAUACCGGAUAAUAAAGCAGAUCGCAUGAUCAGCUUUUGAAAGGCGGCGUAAGCUGUCGCUAAGGGAUGGCCCCGCGGUGCAUUAGCUAGUUGGUAAGGUAACGGCUUACCAAGGCGACGAUGCAUAGCCGAGUUGAGAGACUGAUCGGCCACAUUGGGACUGAGACACGGCCCAAACUCCUACGGGAGGCAGCAGUAGGGAAUCUUCCACAAUGGACGCAAGUCUGAUGGAGCAACGCCGCGUGAGUGAAGAAGGUUUUCGGAUCGUAAAGCUCUGUUGUUGGUGAAGAAGGAUAGAGGUAGUAACUGGCCUUUAUUUGACGGUAAUCAACCAGAAAGUCACGGCUAACUACGUGCCAGCAGCCGCGGUAAUACGUAGGUGGCAAGCGUUGUCCGGAUUUAUUGGGCGUAAAGCGAGCGCAGGCGGAAAAAUAAGUCUAAUGUGAAAGCCCUCGGCUUAACCGAGGAACUGCAUCGGAAACUGUUUUUCUUGAGUGCAGAAGAGGAGAGUGGAACUCCAUGUGUAGCGGUGGAAUGCGUAGAUAUAUGGAAGAACACCAGUGGCGAAGGCGGCUCUCUGGUCUGCAACUGACGCUGAGGCUCGAAAGCAUGGGUAGCGAACAGGAUUAGAUACCCUGGUAGUCCAUGCCGUAAACGAUGAGUGCUAAGUGUUGGGAGGUUUCCGCCUCUCAGUGCUGCAGCUAACGCAUUAAGCACUCCGCCUGGGGAAGUACGACCGCAAGGUUGAAACUCAAAGGAAUUGACGGGGGCCCGCA
rnacentral:rRNA from 1 species